CGGCUCAGUAACACGUGGACAACCUACCCUAUGGAGGGGGAUAACCCCGGGAAACUGGGGAUAAUACCCCAUAGACUAUAGAUGCUGGAAUGCUUUGUAGUUGAAAGGUCCGCCGCCAUAGGAUGGGUCUGCGGCCGAUUAGGUUGUUGUUGGGGUAACGGCCCAACAAGCCUGUAAUCGGUACGGGUUGUGGGAGCAAGAGCCCGGAGAUGGAUUCUGAGACACGAAUCCAGGCCCUACGGGGCGCAGCAGGCGCGAAAACUUUACAAUGCGGGAAACCGUGAUAAGGGAACUCCGAGUGCCCGUAAAAUCGGGCUGUCCAUCUGUUUAAAUAACAGGUGAAGAAAGGGCCGGGCAAGACCGGUGCCAGCCGCCGCGGUAAUACCGGCGGCUCGAGUGGUGGCCACUAUUACUGGGCUUAAAGCGUUCGUAGCUGGUCUGUUAAGUCUCUGGGGAAAUCUACUGGCUUAACCAAUAGGCGUCUCAUGGAUACUGGCAGACUAGGGACCGGGAGAGGUGAGAGGUACUCCAGGGGUAGGAGUGAAAUCCUGUAAUCCUUGGGGGACCACCUGUGGCGA
rnacentral:rRNA from 1 species